rnacentral:rRNA from 1 species
UACGAAGGGGGCUAGCGUUGCUCGGAAUCACUGGGCGUAAAGGGCGCGUAGGCGGCCUGAUCAGUCGGGGGGUGAAAGCCUGUGGCUCAACCACAGAAUGGCCUUCGAUACUGUCGGGCUUGAGACCGGAAGAGGUAAGUGGAACUGCGAGUGUAGAGGUGAAAUUCGUAGAUAUUCGCAAGAACACCAGUGGCGAAGGCGGCCCCCCUGGUUGGAUACUGACGCUGAGACGCGAAAGCGUGGGGAGCAAACAGG